UCGUAGGUAUUCCGUGCCCUAUCCAAAUGCACUUUAGCACAUAGACGGUAAUCAUAAAUUAAUUUCAUGGAGAAUGGUAAUUCAUGCAUGUAUAGAUGGCUACAGUCGCUUAAUUGUUUACUUGCAUUGUUCAAACAACAACUUAGCUGCCACAGUGAAAGAACAAUUUCUAGUAGGAGUGCAGAAAUGGGGGCUUCUAUCUCGGGUGAGGUGUGAUCAUGGUCUAGAGAAUGUGGAGGUUGCACGCUUUAUGUUGCAUAACAGAGGAUUGAAUAGAGGAAGUAUUCUUACUGGGAAAUCAGUCCAUAAUGUUCGUGUGGAGCGAUUACAUCGUGAUGUCUAUGAAGGGGUGUUGUCAUACUAUGUAAAACUUUUCACGGAAGUGGAGAAUGAAGGGAACUUUUUCAAGUGGAGCAUACAUUGCAGAUACCAGCAUGGUUGGGAAGAAUGAUGAAAAUCUGGGGAGUGGGAUUGACAUGGAUUUAGAUGCUCCAUUGCAAAUUAAGGACAGUGAUUAUCAGGUAGCUGUUCCAGAAAUUUUAUUUACUUCUUCAGCUGAAGUUUGGGCUGUGUUAAAACAACAUAUCAAUGAAUCAGCAAAUGAUGAAAGUGAUGGAACAUUUCUUUAUUUGUCAUGCAUUCAACUUUUAGAGAAUAUUUAAUCAAAACUUUGUCAAACUGCAUUUAAAGGAAAAAAACUAUGUUGAUUAUAUUUGUAAUGAGAACACCUUCCUAUUUUUUUUGAAUACUUGUUCGUUUUAGAGUUUCAUUAGUAAGUGGAUGACAUACUGAUGAUUUUUACAAAAAAUAUUUUGUUUCCUUCAAAA